rnacentral:rRNA from 1 species
AUUGAACGCUGGCGGCAGGCCUAACACAUGCAAGUCGAACGGUAACAGGAAGCAGCUUGCUGCUUCGCUGACGAGUGGCGGACGGGUGAGUAAUGUCUGGGAAGCUGCCUGAUGGAGGGGGAUAACUACUGGAAACGGUAGCUAAUACCGCAUAAUGUCGCAAGACCAAAGAGGGGGACCUUCGGGCCUCUUGCCAUCGGAUGUGCCCAGAUGGGAUUAGCUUGUUGGUGGGGUAACGGCCCACCAAGGCGACGAUCCCUAGCUGGUCUGAGAGGAUGACCAGCCACACUGGAACUGAGACACGGUCCAGACUCCUACGAGAGUCAGCAGUGGGGAAUAUUGCACAAUGGGCGCAAGCCUGAUGCAGCCAUGCCGCGUGUAUGAAGAAGGCCUUCGGGUUGUAAAGUACUUUCAGCGGGGAGGAAGGGAGUAAAGUUAAUACCUUUGCUCAUUGACGUUACCCGCAGAAGAAGCACCGGCUAACUCCGUG